CAUGCAUCAGUGGGGUCCCUCUGCCUGGCCUGUGGGAUCGGGCUGAAACCAGCUCUCCAACAUCCCCCAAUGGGUCCUGGAUUGCAAGCGGGCACAGGCCAGGCUGAGGGACCCCACUGGUGCACG
rfam:Myotis lucifugus cont2.62607, whole genome shotgun sequence.